rnacentral:rRNA from 1 species
GGGAAGACUCACAUAGAGGCAGCAGUAGAGAAUCUUGUGCAAUAAACGAAAGUAUGACACAGAGAGGACACAUUUAAUUGAGCCCGUCAAAUUAAGUGCCAGCCGACGCGGUUAAACUUAAGGGCUGGUCUUUAUAAGUAAAAAGGCGUAAAGGAUGUGUAGGCCAAGAAACGACCCAAGAAGGUAAAUGGAAUUUUUCUGGAGCGGUAGAAUGUGAGGAUAGAAAAUAGAACCCCUAAGGUUAAAACUAUUUGCCACAAGGUAGGCUGAAACAUGAGUGUGUGGGGAGCAAACAGGAUUAGAGACCCUGGUAGUCCACACUGUGAACUUUGAAGAUGAUGCUUAGCAGACCCGAAAGGUAAAAUCUUCCGCCUGAGUAGUACGAUCGCAAGAUUAAAAUUCAAAAACUUUGGCUGUUCACUAUUUCGAUUAGAGGAGCGUGUAGUUUAAUUCGAUGGUCCGCGUGUUACCUUACCCCAACUUGAAUCUGUGACCGGUAUUGCAUGGCCGUCGUAAGUUCGUGUAUUAAGCUAGAAGGGACCCAACCCGGGCAUUUGCCCGGAGGAAGUCAGGUCUUAUGAUCCGAAUGUUGGGGGAUUUUAUGCGCUACAUUUUCUUAUAUAAUGGGAGACCUGGAAGGUGAGCCUCUAAAGUAAGAGUUCGGAAGGUCGCUGUAAGACGACUGGAAGUUGGAUUUAAUAGUAAUCGGAAAGUAGGGCGUUCCGGUGAAUUGGUACAAGUGUUAGCACAAAUUGCCCGUCGCCUUUACCUAGAAUGGUUA